rnacentral:rRNA from 1 species
UACGUAGGGGGCUAGCGUUGUCCGGAAUCAUUGGGCGUAAAGCGCGUGUAGGCGGUCCGGUAAGUCCGCCGUGAAAGUCGGGGGCUCAACCCUCGAAUGCCGGUGGAUACUGUCGGGCUAGAGUGCGGAAGAGGCGAGUGGAAUUCCUGGUGUAGCGGUGAAAUGCGCAGAUAUCAGGAGGAACACCAAUGGCGAAGGCAGCUCACUGGGACGAUACUGACGCUGAGAAGCGAAAGCAUGGGGAGCGAACAGG